GUAUCUUUCCUUGUCUUGUUCUAAUUGUCUGAGCUACAAGGUGCUCGCUGUACUCCCCCAUGUUUCUGGUUCCUGUAGUGUUUAACAGCUCCCUCCCCAGUAGAAGCUCAGCUCUAAGAACUCAUCACAAGCAUGUCAGCCGAGGGUCACACCAACUCUUCCCUGAUAGACUAAAUAAAGAAGCCUGAGGAGACAUCUUUGAGGCAAGGCCUUGAGUGGAGCGAUUGGGAAGGCAACCCAGCCAUAAAACCUCCAACAACCUACACUUUGUCCUGCCUUCAUGAUGUCAUGAGAGAGACCAGAGUCCCAUCCAGCAAUGGGAACAGAACUCAGAAAGCUCUGUGGAGGAGAGAGAAGAGGGAUUGGAGGAGCCAGAGGGAUCAAGAACAUGACUCACAGAAUCAACUGACCAGGACUCAACAUCCAGGAUGCCAGAAUUUCAUGCAGGAAGCAUCCCAGCUGUGGAGAAACAUUGAGACCCCAUUCUCUUUCACUGAAAAUGCUGAGAAAUUGAGACAAGAAAUGGGACUCAGGCAGGCAGAGUAGAAAGAGCUCAGAGAAUCUCCGUAAGCAAGUGACCCAACAACAACAUUUCUGAGAAAUUCAGCAGGAACCCAUCUUCCAUGGCCUCUACAGAUCCUGCCAAAUUCCCCGUCAAGAGUGGAGAUCCUGAAAUAACUGAAAAGAUCUGAAAUUUGGAAAGACCUGUGGCAGAGUUACACUAUCAAAGUCCAGAUGUGCGGUUCCAAAGCUGUUCACCACCAGUCUGGGCUGCUGUCUCAGUCUUGAUCUAACCAGAGAUGCUCCUUGAGGCGAAGCUAAAACAAGGAAUCGGAAACCAGAGUCCUCUCCCAGCGUUCCUGGCCUCCAGCAAGGUCAAUUUUGGAACUGCUGCUUUGGGGGUCCCUAUCCCAAGUUUUUUUUUUUUUCUAUCCUGUCCUCAUUAUCACCACCCUCCCAGGUCAUUAAAGAAAAAAAAAAAAAAAAAGACACAUUUUCCACUUUGCCCUAUGUUAUAAAUACCUCUUUGAUUGCCAGAAUUAGCCAACAGGCCCAGUGAAUUAAAUCAGUUUUUUUGUUUAACC